GACGAACGCUGGCGGCGUGCUUAACACAUGCAAGUCGAACGGAAAGGCCCUGCUUUUGUGGGGUGCUCGAGUGGCGAACGGGUGAGUAACACGUGAGUAACCUGCCCUUGCCUUUGGGAUAACUUCAGGAAACUGGGGCUCAUACCGGAUAGGAGCUCCUGCUGCAUGGUGGGGGUUGGUAAGUUUCGGCGGUUGGGGAUGGACUCGCGGCCUAUCGGCUUGAUGGUGGGGUAGUGUCAUACCAAGGCUUUGACGGGUAGCCGGCCUGAGAGGGUGACCGGCCCCAUUGGGACUGGGAUGCGGCCCAGACUACUACGGGACGCAGCAGUGGGGAAUAGUGCAUUAGGCGCGGAAGCCAGAUGCAGCAUCGCCACGUGCGGGAUGACGGCCAUCGGUUAGUAAACCGCUUUCGCCUGUGAUGAGGCGUGAGUGACGGUAAUGGGUAAAGAAGCACCGGCUAACUACGUG
rnacentral:rRNA from 1 species